rnacentral:rRNA from 1 species
CCUACGGGGGGCAGCAGUGAGGAAUAUUGGUCAAUGGGCGCGAGCCUGAACCAGCCAAGUCGCGUGAAGGAUGACUGCCCUACGGGUUGUAACCUUCUUUUAUAAAGGAAUAAAGUGAGGCACGUGGGCCUUUUUGUAUGUACUUUAUGAAUAAGGAUCGGCUAACUCCGUGCCAGCAGCCGCGGUAAUACGGAGGAUCCGAGCGUUAUCCGGAUUUAUUGGGUGUAAAGGGAGCGUAGAUGGGUUGUUAAGUCAGUUGUGAAAGUUUGCGGCUCAACCGUAAAAUUGCAAUUGAUACUGGCAGUCUUGAGUACAGGUGAGGUAGGUGGAAUUCGUGGUGUAGCGGUGAAAUGCUUAGAUAUCACGAAGAACUCCGAUUGCGAAGGCAGCUUACUAAACUGUCACUGACAUUGAUGCUCGAAAGUGUGGGUAUCAAACAGGAUUAGAUACCCGGGUAGUC